UAGGUACAGCAGAUAGCAACUUGUAGCGAUACAAGAGGAAAGUCCGAGCUGCUAUAAGACAGUGUUCCAUUUAACUAAUGGCCGUAGUAAUGCGAGGGAAAGUGCAACAGAAAGUAAACUUCCACUUAGGUGGUAAAGGUGAAAGGGCGGGGUAAGAGCCCACCAGUCUUUAUAGUAAUAUAGAGAGCUUGUAAACCCAACAUGGCAGCAAGAAACAGGUGGUCAGCGUCUUAUAAUGCUACUGUUUCGCUAGACGCACUAUGUAAAUUGUGAUGUAGAUUAAUGCUAUUUAAACAAAACUCGGCUUACAGCUGUGCCUAACUU
rnacentral:RNase_P_RNA from 1 species